CCAACCCGGGGCUGGAAUAUCCCUGGGUCUCCUUUCCUGGCUUUCUCGGAAGAGCCUUCGCUUGCGAUAGUGGGUAACUCCCUCCUUGCCUUUUGGGGAAGGGAAUUAACGUUAGCGUUUCCUGUGCGCAGGUACCAUGCCCAACAUAUUACACGUUCAACGUAUUUAUUUUUUGCCACCAUGUGUGAAAUGAUGAUUAUCAUCCUGGUUCUACUGAUGAGGAAAAUCUCAGAGGGUACUUGCUAGUAAGGAGAAGAACAAAGAUUUUGUCCAACUGAAGAAAACGUACAACCUAAAAGUUGCGAGUUGAGUUUUUUUCCAGGACCAUACUGAGGACUAUCCUCUCAGCUCUGAGGAACUGCUCCAAAGAGUGCAGGGAAAAGGCGUCUCAUCAGAGUGGAUGCGCCCUUGGCUGAGCAGGAGGGAGGAGUAGAAGCAGAUGCCAACUGCAGGGAGAACGUUUCUCGCCUGUGUGUGCGCGGCUGUAAAUGGCCAAGGAAGCCUCUGGCGGAAGCACCGCCCCCAGUCACAACACCAGCAGGACUUCUUUCCCGUGUGGAUUCUGGGCGCCUCGCCCCCUCCCCAGGAUCCUCCGCCUCCCGGCUCCAUACCUCCUUCCUUCUCUCCAUCCAGGAGAUGAAGGCAGGGUUGGGGACUACAGAAACUAGGGGAGAAGAGGCCAACAGCGGACAGGGUAACAGGAUGGAGCCUAGAGAAGAUGCUUCCUCUGCAGGGGUGGGGUACGGCCCCUGAACCCUAUGAACCCUCAAAGAGAAGACCCUCCCCAACAAUAGACACACACUCAGGCGUGUCCGGACCGAAGCCGAAUGGUCCCCGUGUCGUAACAAGGGAGAAAAGGGGAGGGCCGGGCCUCUGAUCGCGCCCAAGUAGCCGGGGGUCAACCGCAUCACGUCUGUACCGCGAGCCCUCUGCAAAGCACCAGGUCCAUGAACUCUUCGCCCUGAAGUGUCAUGGCGCUGCUGAGCUUCACGCCCUUUUCCCUCCCGCGCACUGUGAUUGGGUGACGUGCGGCAGAGGGCAAAGAGCCAGCGUCCUGAUUGGGUCUGAGAGAAUCGUUCCGGUUGCAAGGAAGCUGAUAGUAGCAUGAGGGCAGGCCUUCUUCCUAGAGCUCCAGCCAGCUACUGUUCAGCACCUGCUGCGAGCCAGGCGCCGUGCUGCGGACACUUGCCAAGGGACAACGGCGCAGCCCUGCUGCCCAAGAGCUCACAGCACAGGCUUCCUCCUGACCCCGCACUUGGCCCCGCUCUCCCCAGAGCCUCGUCUGCGUUGCUCUGGGGCUCCCUGCCUCCUCUACACCCAGACUUGGACGACGAUCAAACAUUUAUUGAGCGCCUACUGCGUUGAACAGAGUUAUAGGCGCUGGAUAGAGGGCAGGGAGCUACUCAACGUGUCCUCAGCCGUGGAGGUUACAUUCCUCUCCACAGCCUUCCAGAUGCUCAGGUCUCCACUGGACUUGACUCAAGGUUUAGUCCUGGAGCACCUGAGGCUCUCCACGUCUGAAGCGAUUUAACAUGACAUCUCCAAACAUAAUGCUUGGGACCGGAAAGAGGUGGCUCUAAGGGUGCCUGCUCCCAGUGGUGCUUACAACCUACUGAGGGAGACACACAAAUACACAAAGGUCUGGCUGCCUAAGCCACAGUGGUAGCACUGACAGACUCCAGGGAAUUAUGAGACAGUCUCCCAACUCCGAGUUGAGCACAGAAAGAAAUAAGCAUUGUGAGUCACUUAAGGGGAAAAAAAGGUAAUAAUAGCUUCCAACUCACUGAAACAUGUAAAAGUAAUAGAA